CCCGGUGUUGAUAUACUAGUAUGAUAAAGUGUUCAUUGUAUAUCCUCAUAGUUCUCGUACAUAUGGAAAAUAAUAAUUUCAUGCUGGGCUUGAUUUUGAUACAAAUUAUUUGACAAUUAAAGAUACGUUAAUAGCAUUUGUCUACGUUACUGUUUUCUUUAGGUGACAUGUUUAUGGCCUAAUUAACACCUCUGUUGGUCUUUAAUCUGUUGAUAACUUUAUCUUGGGUAAAUUAGUGUUUACACAACGAUUAACUUGGGUCAAUGUUUACUUUGCAAUUUCCUUCAAUCCAGACCCUUACUUUCUAACGGCUUCAAUUUUUCAUUUUUUUUUU
rnacentral:lncRNA from 1 species